UACGUAGGGUGCGAGCGUUAAUCGGAAUUACUGGGCGUAAAGGGCGCGUAGGCGGUCAGCACAAGUCAGUUGCGAAAUCUCCGGGCUUAACUCGGAAAGGUCAACUGAUACUGUGCGACUAGAGUGCAGAAGGGGCAACUGGAAUUCUCGGUGUAGCGGUGAAAUGCGUAGAUAUCGAGAGGAACACCUGCGGCGAAGGCGGGUUGCUGGGCUGACACUGACGCUGAGGCGCGAAAGCCAGGGGAGCGAACGGG
rnacentral:rRNA from 1 species